AAUCAACGCUGGCGGCGUGCCUAACACAUGCAAGUCGAACGCGAAAGUCCCGCAAGGGAUAAGUAGAGUGGCAAACGGGUGAGUAACACGUGGGUGACCUGCCUUCGAGUGGGGGAUAACGUCCCGAAAGGGACGCUAAUACCGCAUGACAUCCUGCUUUUGAACAGGUGGAGAUCAAAGCUGGGGAUCGCAAGACCUAGCGCUUGAAGAGGGGCCCGCGCCUGAUAGCUAGUUGGUGGGGUAACGGCUCACCAAGGCGACGAUCAGUAUCCGGCCUGAGAGGGCGGACGGACACACUGGGACUGAGACACGGCCCAGACUCCUACGGGAGGCAGCAGUGGGGAAUUGUUCGCAAUGGGCGCAAGCCUGACGACGCAACGCCGCGUGGAGGAUGAAGACCU
rnacentral:rRNA from 1 species